GAAGAAGAAGAAGAAGAAGAAUAAAAGGCCAAGAAGAUUGUUUAGGAUGGAAAAUGUUGAACCAUAUAUUGUAUCAUGAGUCAUGACAGAAAUUGAACAUCUCCUUUCUUGGCAAAGACGAUAAGCUUUGAAGGAUGAAAAGAAAGGAAAGUAAAGAAGAUUACAGUUAUCAUAUUAUAAAAUUUUUUCAAGAAAAAAAAAAAA
rnacentral:misc_RNA from 1 species